CCCUUAGAUGUUCUGGGCCGCACGCGCUCUACACUGAUGCGUUCAACAAGUUUCCUUGGCCGAGAGGCCUGGGCAAUCUUCUUAAUAUGUAUCGUGAUAGGGAUAGAUUAUUGCAAUUAUUAAUCUUGAACGAGGAAUUCCUAGUAAACGCAGAUCAUCAAUCUGCAUUGAUUACGUCCCUGCCCUUUGUACACACCGCCCGUCGCACCUACCGAUUGGAUGUUCCGGUGAAGCCUCGGGAUGAGGACUGGUGCCUUUAUUGGCAUGAGUUGUUCAGAACUUGUCUAAACCUUAUCAUCUAGAGGAAGGUGAAGUCGUAACA
rnacentral:rRNA from 1 species